AGAGUUUGAUCCUGGCUCAGAUUGAACGCUGGCGGCAUGCCUUACACAUGCAAGUCGAGCGGCAGCGCGGGGGCAACCCUGGCGGCGAGCGGCGAACGGGUGAGUAAUACAUCGGAACGUGUCCAGUUGUGGGGGAUAACCAGUCGAAAGACUGGCUAAUACCGCAUACGAUCUACGGAUGAAAGCGGGGGAUCGCAAGACCUCGCGCUAUUGGAGCGGCCGAUGUCCGAUUAGCUAGUUGGCGGGGUAAUGGCCCACCAAGGCGACGAUCGGUAGCUGGUCUGAGAGGAUGAUCAGCCACACUGGAACUGAGACACGGUCCAGACUCCUACGGGAGGCAGCAGUGGGGAAUUUUGGACAAUGGGGGCAACCCUGAUCCAGCCAUGCCGCGUGGGUGAUGAAGGCCUUCGGGUCGUAAAGCCCUGUCGGGAGGGACGAAACAUCGACGGUCUAAUACGCCGUCGACUGACGGUACCUCCUAAGAAG
rnacentral:rRNA from 1 species